rnacentral:tRNA from 1 species
GGGCGGUUAGCUCAGUUGGUCAGAGCGCCUGCCUUACAAGCAGGAGGUCCCCGGUUCGAGCCCGGGACUGCCCA